rnacentral:rRNA from 1 species
CUACGGGAGGCAGCAGUGGGGAAUAUUGGACAAUGGGGGAAACCCUGAUCCAGCGACGCCGCGUGUGUGAAGAAGGCCUGCGGGUUGUAAAGCACUUUCGGUGGGAACGAAAUGUGCCGACCUAAUACGUCGGCAAGCUGACGUUACUCAAUGAAGAAGCACCGGCUAACUCUGUGCCAGCAGCCGCGGUAAUACAGAGGGUGCGAGCGUUAAUCGGAAUUACUGGGCGUAAAGCGCGUGUAGGCGGUCGCUUAAGUCUGAUGUGAAAGCCCGGGGCUCACCCCCGGAAGUGCACUGGAAACUGACGGACUCGAGUCCCGGAGAGGAGAGUAGAAUUCCUGGUGUAGCGGUGAAAUGCGUAGAUAUCAGGAGGAAUACCGGUGGCGAAGGCGGCUCUCUGGACGGUGACUGACGCUGAGACGCGAAAGCGUGGGGAGCAAACAGGAUUAGAUACCCUGGUAGUCCACGCUGUAAACGAUGAGCACUAGGUGUCGCGGGUAUUGACCCCUGCGGUGCCGCAGCUAACGCACUAAGUGCUCCGCCUGGGGACUACGGCCGCAAGGUUAAAACUCAAAGGAAUGACGG